GGCACUGGUUAAAUCCUGGUUUUGGCUGAGAGAAAGUUUCUCAUUCCUUGACAUGCUUUGUGCAUGCUCGUCUUCAUUAGCUCAGUUAGUGCAGGAAACGUUAAUUGAAAAUAGAGAUUGUGAAGGAAUGAAAACAUUGAAACUAAAAUACAACUGAUGAUAAACAAUUAAAAAGAAAUGCUAGGUGAAGUUUUAACAUUUUAUGAGUGGUAGAAUAGAAGAAGUGUGGUUGAACCCCUGCCCCAAAACAAUUCAAGUGUCACUUCUUAUCUGCAUAAUUUAAAAAACUGGACUAGACUAUCUCCACCCAUCCAAGAAUUCCUGAAUCUGUUUUUGAGUAAUCAUAGUCCAGAAUGCUGUUGUUUUCCCAAGCAGACAUGUUUGUAUUUAUUUUGAUGUAGAGAAUAAAACAUCUUAAUUUGAAAA